UGGGGAAUAUUGCACAAUGGGCGCAAGCCUGAUGCAGCGACGCCGCGUGGGGGAUGACGGCCUUCGGGUUGUAAACUCCUUUCGCUAGGGACGAAGCUUUUUGUGACGGUACCUAGAUAAGAAGCACCGGCUAACUACGUGCCAGCAGCCGCGGUAAUACGUAGGGUGCGAGCGUUGUCCGGAAUUACUGGGCGUAAAGGGCUCGUAGGUGGUUUGUCGCGUCGUCUGUGAAAUUCCGGGGCUUAACUCCGGGCGUGCAGGCGAUACGGGCAUAACUUGAGUACUGUAGGGGUAACUGGAAUUCCUGGUGUAGCGGUGAAAUGCGCAGAUAUCAGGAGGAACACCGAUGGCGAAGGCAGGUUACUGGGCAGUUACUGACGCUGAGGAGCGAAAGCAGGGGUAGCGAACAGG
rnacentral:rRNA from 1 species